rnacentral:sRNA from 1 species
UAGGUGUGGUAUCCUAUGCUCUCCUUUC